rnacentral:rRNA from 1 species
UCUAAGAUCCAAAAAAUUACCAGAAUAUUAAAAGGUAUAUGCUUAAAAUUUAAAGAAUUUGGCGGCAGCUUAGUCUAGUUAGAGGAACCUGUUUUAGAAUUGAUAAACCUCGCAAUAUCUUACUUGUUUUAUGGUUUGUAUAUCGUCAUUAUUAGAUAACUUUUAUAGAAGUAGUUAUUUAAAAUAAGUGUUUAGGUAAAUUAGAUCAAGGUGCAGCUUAUGGACAAGUUAAAAUGGGUUACAAUAAUAUUCAUUUAUUAUGAAUUAAGUGUUGAAAGAGACUUAUGAAGGAGGAUUUAAUUGUAAUAGGGGUUUAAUAUGCCUAAGAGAUAUAAGUUCUAAGUUGUGU